rnacentral:lncRNA from 1 species
AUAAAAUCACAAACCCACACAAAUUUUCCUAGCCCCAAAUCUGUCAUACACCAAGUGAUUACAAAAUGUAGAAUCCAAAUCCAAGUACUCAUGCCACACAUAAUUAAUGUCAUGCACUGUGGAGGAUGCAUAAUGGAAUCAACAAUCAGCAAAGUAAGUCCUUACUGAGAUCUUACCAUGAGAACUUGCCCUUAGUUUCCCAUUAUGUAACAUGAUGGUUCUCAAACUUGAGCAUGGAUCAUGAUCACCCAGAGGGUGAUUGUUACAUCACAGAUUACCAGGCCCACUUCCAGAACUUCUGGCUCAAUACAUCUGAAGUGGGACCCAAGAAUUUGCAUUUCUAACGUCCCAGGUGAUUCUGAUGCUGCUGCUUCAGAAAAGCUUAAAAAAUAAAACCAGGAGAAUGUGGUAUCAGCAGCCAAGAGAGAGUGGAGCUUUAUAAAUCGGCAGGUCUGUGUGCUGCUGAGCCUAAAUGCACCCCUAUACAUCUUCUCCAUGCAUCUGAGAAAGCAUUGGGCAAUGAAGGAGUCAAUGGUAACUUAUGGCAAAAAUCAUCAUUAAGGAUAAAAGUGGCCAUUACAUAAUGAUGAAGGGAACAGACCUUCCAGCAAGAUAUAACAAUCCUGAACUGUAUGAUCAUAAUGAUGUAGUCUUGACUCAUACAAAGCAACAAUUGAGAGAAUUACAGAAAGAAAAACAUCAAAAUCCACUAUCAGAGCAAAAGAUUUUAACAUGGUUAUUGAAGAAAUACAUAGAACACAUGAACAAAAAAUCAGCAAGUACACAGAAGAUUUGGACAUCCUGUGAACAAGCUAGAUAUGUAUAAACCAUGUCAACAAUCAGAGAAUAUAUUUUCAGAUAUGCAUAAAACAUACAUAUCAUGUGUCACAUCAUGUACCAGGCUGCAAGGCAAGUCUCUCAAGGAAUUUACAGUCUAGUAGAGAGAUAAGUGACCCGUGGUCCACUUGACUUUGUGAUCUGUUUCCUGAUGAAAUUUCAGGAACAAGAAACUAAAAUCAAUGAAAUUGAUUCACUCACUGGUGUGGUGUCCUCGAAUGGCCUCCCUGGCCAAGCACUGGCCAGCCCUGCCUCCUUUUCUGGGCCACCUCCAGCCAGGGCUGGGUAGCUAUCCCAGGGCUGGGUUCUGAACAGAGGCUGCCUCUGGGGAGGGGGGGACUCCAAAUGCUGGGCCCACGGAAUAAAAUAGCCUGAAGGAACAAAACAGCCACUGACCCGAUGGGAAAGAAUAAAAGCCUCCUCUCCUCGACUUGGGCAGAAGGACGGUGAAAGAACAUGCAAGCACAGUUGUGGAUAUUGUGAUUGCUGAUUUAAUUUUUUUUUUCUUUUUUUAAUGGGGCCUGAAUUGUUUCCCUUCCCUGACCUGACCUGUACAAUAAGAGUUUGCCGACCACAGGUCUAAAGAGAAAAAGUUCUCAAACUUUUAAAAUCACUUUCAUGUGGUGCUUCUAGUAACGUCUUGCAGGUGGAACACAGAAGGGAGGCAUCUGGGCUGGGGCCUUCCCCAGCUGCAGAGCUGUUUAUUUUUCUUCCCCCGAUGAAGUUGACCUUGGCUUCAUCACUUUCCAUUCUGCACAGUUAUUUAACUACUGCUCUUGUUACCAUCAACAUUUUCUCCUCUUAGACAAGAUGCUCAAAAUAAAUGAGUUUUGG